CCUACGGGAGGCAGCAGUGGGGAAUAUUGCACAAUGGGGGCAACCCUGAUGCAGCGACGCCGCGUGAGUGAAGAAGUAUCUCGGUAUGUAAAGCUCUAUCAGCAGGGAAGAAAAUAACGGUCCCUGACUACGAAGCCCUGGCCAACUACGUGCAAGCAGCCGAGGUCAUACGUAGGGUGCACGCGUUAUCCGGAUUUACUGGGUGUAGAGGGAGCGUAGACGGCGGUGCAAGUACGGAGUGAAAUCCCAGGGCUUAACCAUGGUACUGCUCUGGAAACUGUGGAGCUUGAGUGCGGGAGGGGCAGGCGGAAUUCCGAGUGUAGCGGUGAAAUGCGUAGAUAUUAGGAGGAACACCGGCGGCGAAGGCGGCCUGCUGGACCGUAACUGACGUUGAGGCUCGAAAGCGUGGGGAGCAAACAGGAUUAGAUACCCGGGUAGUC
rnacentral:rRNA from 1 species